CAGAACUCUCCUGCAAGCACCGAGAAAGCCACGAUGAAGAGGCUGGCGUUCAUACUGGUGGUCGUUCUUCUCUGCGAAGUUAUGCUGACGGAAGCGGUACGUCCUCCUGGAAGAUCGAGCGACGCGCCACGUCGCGACAAUACGCGGAAGAAGUGUGGUGAUGUCUACUGCAAACGUGGGGAGUACUGCGAGUCACAGGUUACACCGUAUCCUGUAUGUGUCAGCAGAUGAAGCUUCCACAAAAAAAAAUAUUUCUACCCGUCAAGAAGAAAUCACCGCUGAGAGAAUCCUGCAGCAAGGAACAGUAAACUGGACGAACAGAGUGACAUCAACCUGCUGGCCUAUUGA
rnacentral:lncRNA from 1 species